AGCGCGACCGGGUCGACACCGCGAGUGACGACGAGGUAGUCCCGGAUGACGAUGCCGUGGCGGUUCUC
rfam:Mycobacterium mageritense, CIP 104973, WGS project CCBF01000000 data, contig: 000003